rnacentral:rRNA from 2 species
CUGGUAUUGAUUGGUGCUUGCAUCAUGAUUUACAUUUGAGUGAGUGGCGAACUGGUGAGUAACACGUGGGAAACCUGCCCAGAAGCGGGGGAUAACACCUGGAAACAGAUGCUAAUACCGCAUAACAACUUGGACCGCAUGGUCCGAGUUUGAAAGAUGGCUUCGGCUAUCACUUUUGGAUGGUCCCGCGGCGUAUUAGCUAGAUGGUGGGGUAACGGCUCACCAUGGCAAUGAUACGUAGCCGACCUGAGAGGGUAAUCGGCCACAUUGGGACUGAGACACGGCCCAAACUCCUACGGGAGGCAGCAGUAGGGAAUCUUCCACAAUGGACGAAAGUCUGAUGGAGCAACGCCGCGUGAGUGAAGAAGGGUUUCGGCUCGUAAAACUCUGUUGUUAAAGAAGAACAUAUCUGAGAGUAACUGUUCAGGUAUUGACGGUAUUUAACCAGAAAGCCACGGCUAACUACGUGCCAGCAGCCGCGGUAAUACGUAGGUGGCAAGCGUUGUCCGGAUUUAUUGGGCGUAAAGCGAGCGCAGGCGGUUUUUUAAGUCUGAUGUGAAAGCCUUCGGCUCAACCGAAGAAGUGCAUCGGAAACUGGGAAACUUGAGUGCAGAAGAGGACAGUGGAACUCCAUGUGUAGCGGUGAAAUGCGUAGAUAUAUGGAAGAACACCAGUGGCGAAGGCGGCUGUCUGGUCUGUAACUGACGCUGAGGCUCGAAAGUAUGGGUAGCAAACAGGAUUAGAUACCCUGGUAGUCCAUACCGUAAACGAUGAAUGCUAAGUGUUGGAGGGUUUCCGCCCUUCAGUGCUGCAGCUAACGCAUUAAGCAUUCCGCCUGGGGAGUACGGCCGCAAGGCUGAAACUCAAAGGAAUUGACGGGGGCCCGCACAAGCGGUGGAGCAUGUGGUUUAAUUCGAAGCUACGCGAAGAACCUUACCAGGUCUUGACAUACUAUGCAAAUCUAAGAGAUUAGACGUUCCCU